rnacentral:rRNA from 1 species
GACGAACGCUGGCGGCGUGCCUAAUACAUGCAAGUAGAACGCACAGUUUAUACCGUAGCUUGCUACACCAUAAACUGUGAGUUGCGAACGGGUGAGUAACGCGUAGGUAACCUGCCUGGUAGCGGGGGAUAACUAUUGGAAACGAUAGCUAAUACCGCAUAAUAUUGAUUAUUGCAUGAUAAUUAAUUGAAAGGUGCAAUUGCAUCACUACCAGAUGGACCUGCGUUGUAUUAGCUAGUAGGUGAGGUAACGGCUCACCUAGGCGACGAUACAUAGCCGACCUGAGAGGGUGAUCGGCCACACUGGGACUGAGACACGGCCCAGACUCCUACGGGAGACAGCAGUAGGGAAUCUUCGGCAAUGGACGAAAGUCUGACCGAGCAACGCCGCGUGAGUGAAGAAGGUUUUCGGAUCGUAAAGCUCUGUUGUAAGAGAAGAACGGGUGUGAGAGUGGAAAGUUCACACUGUGACGGUAUCUUACCAGAAAGGGACGGCUAACUACGUG